GACAAUAAUCUCUAGUUCUUGUUCUUAAUUUACAUUUUGUGUUGGGCAACUAUUGACACAUCUGAGUAUACUAAAAAUGCACGUUCUGGUUCUUCUUUUUCCUUUUCAGCUUUUCGCAUGGACUUAAACUCUGCUUGUUCCUUUACUAAUACAUUCGUCAGCUCAGCCAAAGCCCCAAGACUGGGAAGAUCAGCCUUUUUUUAAGAUGCUGGAAUAAAAAAAAGUCCCGAUUUACAGUAGCUACCUCUUUCUAUUACUUUUAUUUUUGUUGUCGUUGAUUGCCUUGUUUUUGCUUACAGCCCAAAAUGAAAAUGGCCGUCUCUUUGUGGGUACCAAGAAGAUGGUGUACUUGAUGGCGUUCAGUGGGGUGCCAGGAGGUGAGCUGGGAGAGCGCAGUGUGUUUGGUUGCCGUGUGUUCGGCCUGACCGUGGGCACUGUGCUGGAGGAGCACUGACUUACCCCCUCUGCUGCUCCUGUGUUCUUCCCUGGCCCUGGGGUCACGUCAUUGUCGUGGAGGAUAAACUUUUACAUUACUGCAUGUCUAGCAACAAUCCCAUCAAAAGGAAACAAGAUUCCCUACAGCACUGCUCUGCAAUACAAAGGACUCGAUUAGUUGCAAUCUAGAUCUCAGUUUUACCAACUGUUAAAACAAAGUCACAAGGACGCAAAGUUUGUACGCAAAGGGGGGAAAGUGGAAAAGAACGAAGAGGAAAAGCAAAGCAAGCAGAGAAGGAGGAGGCAGUGGUGGGGGGUCAAAUGUGCUCAGCAGAUCCGAAUUUUGAGACAGAAAUGUGAGCCCAGGCUUUGACGGGCAGUGCUGUGCACCAGAGCAGUAUCUCACUGAUGGGUUUCCCACACUCACCUCCCCGGCAGAGUCCUGAGUCUCGGCGGUCGUGACUGUGCUCCUGGAGCCGUACUUGAUCAUUUCUCCUCAGGCUGGAGAGCGACGUCGUAGCGCACCGGUCCCCUGGACUGAAAACAGCAGCUCUCAGGCCCUUGAGCCACCUGUUCUGUGUCCUGUGGGAAAGCACGGGGGGGAAAAAAAUACUUCCAGCCUACAAAGAAAGGCUCGUGUGUUUCCUCUAGAAAGAAUUCCUUUCCCAGUUGAUAAGGAGGAGACAGGCCUGGAGGCUGACAACCACAAAGAGAUCCUCUCCCGGUGCCAAAAAGUGGAGCUCAAGGGAAGCAGAAGUGCCUCUACACAGGAUAAUCAGGACACUGAGCUGACAGAGGCAACACCUGGGUAUCUCUGAAAGAUAGUCUCUUAGUAGUUCUUCAGCAGAAACAACGCACCUCUGGCCUGUUCUUCUCAACAGACCUGUUAAGCUACAUUUCACCUGCGUUGCUGGUGCAGUGCUGGAGAGUAUUUCCUGAGGGUGGUGCUAAAGGUGACAGGUGCAAUUUCCUAGGUGCUGGUUGGAAGGAAUACAUUUAAACCACAGACUGCUGCUACGAAAAAUAUGCUAUUUACCGCCUUCAACGUCUUUCUUGGUCUCCAAAUGUCAUUCAUGAAAAAUUAAACUAGUUGUUCCCUU